GACGAACGCUGGCGGCGUGCCUAAUACAUGCAAGUAGAACGCACAGUUUAUACCGUAGCUUGCUACACCAUAAACUGUGAGUUGCGAACGGGUGAGUAACGCGUAGGUAACCUGCCUGGUAGCGGGGUAUAACUAUUGGAAACGAUAGCUAAUACCGCAUAAUAUUGAUUAUUGCAUGAUAAUUGAUUGAAAGAUGCUAUUGCAUAACUACCAGAUGGACCUGCGUUGUAUUAGCUAGUAGGUGAGGUAACGGCUCACCUAGGCGACGAUACAUAGCCGACCUGAGAGGGUGAUCGGCCACACUGGGACUGAGACACGGCCCAGACUCCUACGGGAGGCAGCAGUAGGGAAUCUUCGGCAAUGGACGAAAGUCUGACCGAGCAACGCCGCGUGAGUGAAGAAGGUUUUCGGAUCGUAAAGCUCUGUUGUAAGAGAAGAACGGGUGUGAGAGUGGAAAGUUCACACUGUGACGGUAUCUUACCAGAAAGGGACGGCUAACUACGUG
rnacentral:rRNA from 1 species